rnacentral:rRNA from 1 species
CAUGGGGGNAACCCUGNAUGCAGCGACGCCGCGUGAAGGGAAGAAAGUAUCUCCCNUAUGUAAACUUCUAUCAGCAGGGNAAGAUAGUGACGGUACCUGCACUAAGAAGCCCCGGCUAACUACGUGCCAGCAGCCGCGGUAAUACGUAGGGGGCAAGCGUUAUCCGGAUUUAUUGGGUUUAAAGGGAGCGUAGAUGGAUGUUUAAGUCAGUUGUGAAAGUUUGCGGCUCAACCGUAAAAUUGCAGUUGAUACUGGAUAUCUUGAGUGCAGUUGAGGCAGGCGGAAUUCGUGGUGUAGCGGUGAAAUGCUUAGAUAUCACGAAGAACUCCGAUUGCGAAGGCAGCCUGCUAAGCUGCAACUGACAUUGAGGCUCGAAAGUGUGGGUAUCGAACAGGAUUAGAUACCCUGGUAGUCCAAGGGCGAAUUC